rnacentral:rRNA from 1 species
UACGUAGGGUGCAAGCGUUAAUCGGAAUUACUGGGCGUAAAGCGUGCGCAGGCGGUUGUGCAAGACCGAUGUGAAAUCCCCGGGCUUAACCUGGGAAUGGCAUUGGUGACUGCACGGCUAGAGUGUGUCAGAGGGGGGGUAGAAUUCCACGUGUAGCAGUGAAAUGCGUAGAGAUGUGGAGGAAUACCGAUGGCGAAGGCAGGUCUCUGGGCUGACACUGACGCUCAUGCACGAAAGCGUGGGGAGCAAACAGG